CAGGUGAAUGCCUCUAGCAUG
rnacentral:rRNA from 1 species